CCUAGCUUGCUAGGUGGAUUAGUGGCGCACGGGUGAGUAAUAUAUAGAUAACGUGCCUCUUAGUCUGGGAUAGCCAUGGAAACGAUGAUUAAUACUAGAUACUCCUUCUAACUCUAAUGUUAGUUGGGAAAGUUUUUCGCUAAGAGAUCGGUCUAUAUCCCAUCAGCUAGUUGGUAGUGUAAGAGACUACCAAGGCAAUGACGGGUAGCGGGUUUGAGAGGAUGAUCCGCCACACUGGUACUGAGACACGGACCAGACUCCUACGGGAGGCAGCAGUGAGGAAUAUUGCACAAUGGAGGAAACUCUGAUGCAGCAACGCCGCGUGGAGGAUGACGCAUUUCGGUGUGUAAACUCCUUUUAUAUGUCAAGAAAAUGACGGUAGCAUAUGAAUAAGCACCGGCUAACUCCGUGCCAGCAGCCGCGGUAAUACGGAGGGUGCAAGCGUUAUUCGGAAUCACUGGGCGUAAAGGACGCGUAGGCGGGAUGCCAAGUCUGAUGU
rnacentral:rRNA from 1 species